UCUCCUCUAACUGAAUGCCAACUGCAUGGCAUGACAAACUGGAGGUAGAAGCAUCCAUUAUUCUACUAACGUCAUUAUGCUCACAUGAAUCUCCUUCAGUUGCUACUAUACCAGUAAAAGAUGCACUAGAAACACCCAUAUCAUUAUUUUCUGAAGCCGCCACUUUUCCAUGUGAAGUUACAGUUGCUCCUUCUAUUACUUCAUGCUUCACAUUACCAACAAAAGCCUCACUGUUCUCUUCAUGGGUGCUGGUUGCGAGACCUAGUGCAUGGUAAGUGAGGUUUGAAGUUCCAGACAAAGAUG
rnacentral:misc_RNA from 1 species